rnacentral:sRNA from 1 species
AAAAGAACUUUGGAAAGAGAGUCAAAUAGUGCGUGAAACCGUUGGGAGGGAAGCGAAUGAGGCCGGCUCGGUCCUCUGUGGGAACAGGCGGAUCGAUGAGCGCCCUCUGGCGGAGGGAUCCCCCCGGGGACCCGUCGCCGGUGGGACCGCUCGUCGCUCUCGACCGCACUCCCGCGUGGACCAGUCAGCGGCAGUUUCGGCUGCGCCGUGCGCCCCGCCGGGCAGUUGGCCGAGUCCUUCGGGUCUCGGUGCUGGCCCGUGGGGCGCGACGCGACUGAGACUGAGGAGAGUGGCGGCCCUCGCCCGAGCAGCGCAAGCCACAGGGCCGGACGGCUGCGACGACUGCGUCGGACCGGUGGGGACUGCGUGCAGUGCCCGCUGAGCGAGACGGAGGCGUCGCGGUGCAGUCACGAUGUGCGCUGAGGUCGCUGGCGCCUAGCCGGUCCCAUCCGACCCGUC